ACACCAAUGGUGAAGCGGUUAUCAUGCUUGCCUUCCACUUUCUGGUAGCAAGCGGCAGGGGUUCGACUCCCCUUUGGUGUA